AAGGACUGUGUCGCUGUCAGUGAUCUUGGUUGGAAGGUGAAGAAGUGUACAGAGAAAAUUAACUUUGUUUGUGAAUAUGAACUUUCAAUGGGAUCCUGUGACUUUAAGUCAGAUUUCUGUGGUUGGAGAAACGAAUCACAACUUGACAGCAUUGCUUGGAUUCGCGAGUAUGAAGAAGAAAAUGCUUCUAUUUCCUCCAAUUUUUCUGCUGGAGGAAACGAUUCUUCUCUUGCGAACAAUCACAGUUCUCUCGAGCUCAACCCUUACCGAGUUUCGCUCUAUCGUGACACCACUGAAAGACACGUCAUCUCGACUCUCCUCUCGCCAGAGAUGGCGUCCACAAUCACAGAGAGCUAUGGCGUGUGUUUGCAGUUUUCAUUCCUUCUAACUGGUGAAGAAACUUCAUUGAAAGUCAUUCUUGAUAGAAGAGGAACAAGGAUGGAAACUUUGUGGCAUGUGCGUGCUUCUAAUCAAAUUUCCACAUGGAGAGAAGCGCGCGUGUCCCUUGGGAUAGUUUCCAAAUUUAGGGUCCGGUUAACUGGAGAACUGAUGGAUCACGACAGCAAGAUAAAGAUUGCCAAGAUUGCAUUCAACCCUGGCUUGUGCAAAGCAUUGCCUGUUGGAG